AGAGUUUGAUCCUGGCUCAGGAUGAACGCUAGCUACAGGCUUAACACAUGCAAGUCGAGGGGCAGCAUGAACUUAGCUUGCUAAGUUUGAUGGCGACCGGCGCACGGGUGAGUAACACGUAUCCAACCUGCCGAUGACUCGGGGAUAGCCUUUCGAAAGAAAGAUUAAUACCCGAUGGCAUAGUUCUUCCGCAUGGUAGAACUAUUAAAGGAUUUCGGUCAUCGAUGGGGAUGCGUUCCAUUAGGUUGUUGGCGGGGUAACGGCCACCAAGCCUUCGAUGGAUAGGGGUUCUGAGAGGAAGGUCCCCCACAUUGGAACUGAGACACGGUCCAAACUCCUACGGGAGCA
rnacentral:rRNA from 1 species